AAUUCGACGCAAUGCGACAGAACCUUACCUGGUCUUGACAUCCCGGAAUUUCCUUGAAAGAGGGAAGUGCCUCGCAAGAGGAGCCUGGAGACAGGUGCUGCAUGGCUGUCGUCAGCUCGUGUCGUGAGAUGUUGGGUUAAGUCCCGCAACGAGCGCAACCCUUGCUUUAGUUGCCAUCAUUCAGUUGGGCACUCUAAAGAGACUGCCGGUGUCAAACCAGAGGAAGGUGGGGAUGACGUCAAGUCCUCAUGGCCUUUAUGACCAGGGCUACACACGUACUACAAUGGCCGGUACAAAGGGCAGCCACUUAGCGAUAAGGAGCCAAAUCCCGUAAAGCCGGUCUCAGUCCGGAUUGGAGUCUGCAACUCGACUCCAUGAAGUUGGAAUCGCUAGUAAUCGCAGAUCAGCACGCUGCGGUGAAUACGUUCCCGGGCCUU
rnacentral:rRNA from 1 species